UCUGGGUGUUCAUGAAACUCCAAUGACCUGAAAAAAAUGCGAAUUUGGACAAAGCUGUUGACACUCAGUCACCACUGCGAAGCUGGAACUCAACACUCAUCGAGUUUAUCUGCUUGUGUCAAAGACAAGAAGUUGUUUCAGCCCUGCAGUUGAAGCUGUUGUCUUGUCCCUGCUGUCAAAGCUGUUGGAGGCAGCAUUCCCUGUCUCUGGAGGUUUUUAUGGAGAUAUGUGGCCUGGCUCUGGGAAGGUGCUGGUGGCACUAGCAUUAGCUUCUGCUGUGCCCAGUGGAGAGAGGAGAAGACCUGGCACAGCCCUGAGAGGAGGGAGUGGGUGACCAGCAGUUAAAAAACACUACUGAGACUGGCAGAUGCAAGAUUUAAGACAGAUGUUACAAAUGCUGGCCUUCUACGAGAUCUGGAUCCCAGGUCUGCAGCCAGGAGAAGCCCACUGCUUGAAAAGGCACCAGGCCCACAGAAAAUUUGCUUAUAUUUGGAUUUCAGUCUGGAUUUGCUAAGAGCACUUAGCACAAUUUUGCAACAAGAAAAGUGUCUACAGGUCAAGAAACAACAUAGUCUUCAGGAGAUGCCUGCAGCAGCUUGUGUGAAAGCGUAAUUUGGAGAAAGCUUUUGCCUUUGCCUGUACAGUAAUCCCAGAAGACGUGAGCACUCCAGAACUGACUUUUAAGUGGAGUGAUAUUCUGAGUGUGACUCAGUAUGUUUGCUCUUGGAAGCGCUAAUGAUGUGGAAGAAAUGAAACAUAGCUGGGAAUAGGAAGAAGAAGAAAACAGUCACAGAAAAUAGAAGUUAUACCUCAGGGGUUCACAGCAGUCAAGACCAGAUCAAUGACAUGACUCAAGAGAACCACUGAACUGGGAAGAGCCCUCGAUGCCACAGACUGCUGCAGCCUCCUCUGCCGACCACUAACAUCAGCCUUUCACUUCACCAGGAGUGGUUCUAGGAGUCUCCUAACACACUCUGAAAGCCCUCUCCACAGUCUCUUCACCUGUGCAUCAGUUGGAGUACCUGUAUACUUGACUCCUAGGGGCAACUGCUAAAUCUACACAUUCCUCAACAAGCUGUGGGAUCCACAGCUGCUGUACUAGAAGACAAUAGCUCCUGGCUCAACACCUGUCUUUGUAAACUUCAACCUCAUUCCAGUCAUUGGCUGCCUGGGGAGUUUUGCCCAGGUAGGGGCUAAAUAAUAACUCCACAUUUAGAGUCUGCACACCGUAUUCAUCAGGCUGUGACAGUGCAGGUUUGCAAGCAUUAUGACCACCUUCCAAGAGCCUUCCAGUGUAAUAUAACCCAGUAAUCAAUUUCACAAAGAGAUGCAGAGGAUGCAAAUCAGCAAUACCCACCUACCACUACAGUUUAUAUUCAUUUGAGUGACGAAUCACUCAAUGUCCACACUGUUGCAGGAAAAAGGUGAAAUGCCAGGAAAGAAAUUAAGGCAAAUAAAACUAUUGUGAAUUUUUUUCUUUUACAGGACAAAUGAAACAGCAGUGUUGGUCAGUGAUCUCCUGUUUGCGUUUCUCACUAACUACUUUUUUCCUUUAAGUGGAAAAACUGCUUGGAAUAAUGGUGUGUAGGAAAUGGGACAUUUCAAAGCAACACAUCAGGCAAAGAGAGAGCAGGCCAUGGUGUGAUUCCCAUUCCUGCUGCAUGCUGCCUGCAGGACUGAUUGCCUGCUUCCCACUGGUGGACCCCGAAGGUAAACCAGCUCUCCUGAUGCCUGCCCAGCACUCUGGGAUGCUCAGUGCCUGCCAGCAAGAGUGUAAUGCCUCUCAGGUCGAUCUCUGUGCAGGGCUCUGUCUUGGCCUCCAUUUGUGAAUUGAGGUCAGGUAUCACAUCCACUGCUGUGACCGCCUCACAGGAAUGGCUUACACUGAAAACCUGUCAUUUCUGGGAGUGAAUUUUAUUUUGCAGGUGAAAAAUGUGAAGGCUUUUUCACCAGAUGGAAAGAUCACAGGAGGACAGGGUGAGGAUUUGUGAUGAGACUCAGAAUGACUGACAUAUUAAUACUGCACAUUCAAAUGAAAAACCUUUCAAAGGAAUCAGUGAAAAAAAACCUCCACACAUAGAUUUGCACAAUCUGGUCAACAAGAGUGACCUGAUCUGGUGCUUUCAGCCAUUAUCUGCCAUGGGAUUAAUGGGUGAUUGAACCAUCAUCAUCCUGCCAAGAAUAGUGAAGUAUCGUUGUCAGGAGCUAGCAUCCAUCUGUUCAACAAGGAUGUAGUAAAAAAGGAGAGAAAUUAAAAUAGAGGAAAGCAGAAUAAAAACAUAGCCCUUUAUUACUGCAUAUUUUGAACGGAACUACAAGCCUAUGAUUUUUGUAAGAACAUUUUUCUCGGACUCUUUUAAAGAACAGUGGAAUAAAUAACCCUGAUGAGAAUUUCAGAAAAGGCAAUUAUUUUAAUCAGUAUAUAAGCCAGAUAAACAAUCCAUAGACAAAACAUAGCCAUGUCUUUUCAACAUUUGAUUUUUCCUUAUAAGAAUGUGGAAUAGUCUACAUUUUUACCUCUUAAAAAAAUUGUUCCUAGUCAUGGCCCUGCUCAGACACAACUAUUUAAAUUCUACUCUUCAGGACUCAGCAGAAAUACCUCAUGUUUUCCCAAAGAUGAAAUUCACUGUAAAGUAGCUUUACCAACCCCACAGCAACUCAAAAUAACUACCAAAAUUUCAAGCAUGUGAAUUAAAAUACAGUCUUGUAAAGUAGAUAAUUAUAAUGACACAUUAGUUACAAAAAGAAUGUACUAUGUGAGGUAAAAUUUGAUUUGAGUGAACUCGCCUGAAUUUGCAGGAUCAGAACAGAGGCUACAGUACACCAAAAUAAAUAUUAUUUACAUCUAAAGAGCAAUAUUCAGGAAUGUCAGCAGUUCUAACUGACAAUUAAUAAGGCACUGACAAGCCUGGGUAACAAAUCGGUUAUUAGUAGAGGAGUCAGACAGUGCUAAUCUCUUCACCAGCUAGUCAGCACUUUCAAACAGCCCGCGGAGAUGGCAGAUGCUGUUUACUUAGCAGAGACAUCUCAUUUACCAUUUAGCGAUGCUGGGAACAGCCAGCGGUCAAGAAGCUGCACUGGCCCCUCUGAUUAAGAGGAGUGUUCAAAUGUCCUCUGAUUCACAGAGUGCUUUUCUCUCUUUGUUUAUAUUGUCUUCAUGAAGUUGCAUCCUUUUGGACAUCAAGGUGAUUCCUUCUUCUUCAUUAUGAACUUGAAAGAUUUAUUAAAGCAAAUAAUUCCCAAGUAUCCGCCUCUUUGGCUUCUUGGGUGGAGAAAAUGUUGCAAUAAUGUGGUUGGGGUAGUGCAAUCUCUCCAGGUCUGUACAGUACAGUGAGCCUACACCUAGAGCACCAUCGGCAGAUCUGUCCUUGCCUUUAGAUGUCACUGUCAAAGACAUCUAAAGGGCAUGGGGAAGCUGCUCUGUGGAGGGACAUCCUGGUUAACACCUACUUCUGGAUCCAGCCAUUGUUCACAUCUGGAAAUUAAUUCAGGUCACUCGUCCUGGGGUUUCUUAGCCCAUAGGUGCCAAGAACUCCAAGAGGCUGGAGGGCAAGAGGGAGGCUGGGCGAGUACAUAUAGUGGC